AGGAAGGAGAAGUCGUAACAAGGUUUCCGUAGGUGAACCUGCGGAAGGAUCAUUGCCGAGAUCGAAGAAUAUAUUGAGCGAUUUGAAAACACGUGAAAAAGAUUGAGCAUGUUGUCGCCCAUGAAAACUUUUUUGAAGUUGGGUGCCACGGCAAAAUGGAUAACCCACAAAUCGACGCAGCAUCGCGUCAAGGAAAAUAAAAAAUUCUUGAGCCCAGCAAGGGCUAAAUGAUGUGGUGUGCUAACGCACUCCAUGCGAUUAAAAUGACUCUCGACAAUGGAUAUCUUGGCUCUUGCAUCGAUGAAGAGCGCAGCGAAAUGCGAUACGUGGUGUGAAUUGCAGAAUCCCGCGAACCAUCGAGUUUUUGAACGCAAGUUGCGCCCGAGGCCAACCGGCUAAGGGCAUGUCCGCUUGGGCGUCAAGCAUUGCGUCGCUCCGUGCUAGUUGUAUCUCCAAUGGGAGUGUUGAGCGAGGCGCGGAAGUGUAGAGUGGCCCGUAGUGCCAGUUGGUAUGGCGGGCUAAAGAGAGGGUUUUUUUCUCAAAGGCUACGAACAACAAUGGGUUGGUACAAAGCUCAAAUUGUAGCCUAUGUUGUCUUGUGCUGUCGUGAGAUAUAUAGAUUCCCUUUAUGUGAUCCUUGACCAUGCCCUCCCCAGUGUGAGGCGGCUUGGAAUGUGGCCCCAGGAUGGGCGAGGAUACCCGCUGAGUUUAAGCAUAUCAAUA
rnacentral:rRNA from 1 species